rnacentral:tRNA from 1 species
GCCGAGGUAGCUCAGUAGGUUAGAGCAGCGGAAUCAUAAUCCGCGUGUCGGGGGUUCGAAUCCCUCCCUCGGCA